AAAUUUACUGAAAGCCACCAGAGGAAAACAAUGCAUCACCUACAGGCAAUCAGUGAACCAAGUGACUGCACAUUACUCAUCAGAAUACCACAGAUGCUUGAAGAGAGUGUCACAACGUUUUUGAAGCCCUGAAAGUAAAGAAGUGCUAACCUAGAACUCUAUAUCCAGCGUAGAAAUCCUUCAGCAAUGAGGGUAAAAUAAAGAUAUUCUUAGUAAAGAACAACUAACAGCAGAGUUGCUCUAAUUUUUUUUUUUUUUUUUUUUUUUUUGCCAAAGGAAACACUUCAACAGAAGUGAAAUGACUCCAGAAGGAAAAAUUGGAACAUCAGCAAUGGAGGGAAAGCAACAGAAAUAAACAAAGUGAGCUUUGUACAUUUGCUGGUGCCGUUUGUGGCAGAGGACUUUCUCGGAUUGCUCUGGAAUGAUGAAGAGGGUGUCUCUCGUCCAAGAACUGAAAUGAUACCUUCAGGUACUCGAAAUUCCAAAGGGUUCACAUGGAAUCACAAGUCAGCUGAAGGCUAACCGGUUACUUAUGUGCCCUAACCUUGAGACAAAAGCGUCAGCACGGGACAUGAUGCUCAAAUUAUUCCUUUACAUCCUGUGGUCUUUCCAGUGAUGCUCCAAGAAAGCCCCAGAGCCUCUUGGCCUCCACCCAAUCUCCUUCCCCAGGGAAGCCAGGAUUCGGCUGGAUUUCAGCGGCGGUAUCGGCCUAAACCGGGGGAAUGGGAAGAAGGCACUAUGGGCCAUCGUUUUACAGAAGAGGUUACUGAAGUUGGGAGAGGGUAAGUACCUUGCCUGGUGUCAGACCCAUAGUAAGUGACAGAGCUGGGAUGUAUGCCCAGGGAUGUGUGAUCCUAGAACCCACGGCCUUAGCUAAUGCUGCUCCAUUGCCCCUAUGUAAGGAUUUCUCUUUCAACAACACACUGUCUCAUUUCCUAGAAAUUCACAUGCUUUGUGCCAGGAUGCCUAACUCAAAUCGUCCUGCCUUGAAGAUAUUGAAAUGUGCAGAUAUAGAACUAUUUUCUUGGCACAGCUGUUUAACGCAAAACAGCUCUUGGGUCAUCAAAUAGAUGGCUCAGGCGGGGCUGUUAUCAAUAUCGAUCGGUUUCCUUGUUGACUUUUUUUUUUUUUGCUUUUAUUCAAUAGGAAGGUCAUUAAGAAUUACUAGGUGACCCUGGACGCUUGCUCCCUGCACACAGUUAGGAUGGAGUUUUGUGUGUUACUUCCUAAUUAAAUAAUUACAAGUAUAAUAACAUAUUACCACAUGAAGAUUUGGUUCCGGUGGUUUGGUCCAAUGGUGUAGGCCACGGAAUGGGGGAGAGAUUGAUUUCUUUUUUUAAGGUUUAAAAAACAUUUUUCCCCCUUCACCUUCUUUCCACCUUCUUAGCUGCAAGUGGUGCACCGUCAACGAAUUCAGGCCGGUCUUCAAUUCCUAAAAUGAUUUAAUUUCAGUGCUGGGAAGAGCAUGGCCACCAUCUAAAUCAGCAUCCCCGCUAUAGUUAGCUUUGUGGCACUAACAGCAAUAAUUCACUGCUGACAUUUAUAAUGUGUGAUAUAUUUCUCAUCAGGCUUUAUAAUAAUAAAAUUCUGUGGCUUUUAUAAAAUUAGAACAUAAAUACGUAAAUUUUCAAGCCUUGCAUCUAAGCUCAAUAAAUUGGAAUACGUGGAAAGUGAUCCUUGUCAGAACAUCACUUGUAUCUUGACGGGGAGAGGAAAGAAUGCUAUCAGGAGAACACCAGAAAUUUCCCCAGACCUAGAUGAUACCCACUGAUGCUUCGCACAUGGGAACAUGCUCCAUCAAGCAUGUCAUGAUGGAAAAUACAAUGUUUGGAGCCGCCACUCGUAUUCAAUCCCCUUAUUUAACAGAUGAGGAAACUAAAGCUCUGGAGGCUCAGGGGACUUGAUCAGGUUCUCCAGGUGGGUAGAGACCAUUCUGAAACAAAAAGUCACUGUUUUCCUGACGACACCGUGCAGUGGUGUUCAAAACACAUAUCAUUCGCUAAUUGAGCUCUGUACUCAUUUUCUAUUACUGCUGUAACAGAUUGCCACACAGGGGCCCCCGGGUGGCUCAACUGGUUAAGUGAAGGACUUCGGCUCAGGUCAUGAUCUCACGGUUCGUGAGUUCAAGCCCCAUGUCAGAUUCUGUGCUGACAGCUCAGAGCCUGUAACCUACUUCAGAUUCUGUGUCUCCCUCUCUGUCUGCCCCUCCCCCACUU